UACCGUGGGCGCCGUUUAUACAUACAGUCGAGCGGACAGAAGGGAGCUUGCUCCCGGAUGUUAGCGGCGGACGGGUGAGUAACACGUGGGUAACCUGCCUGUAAGACUGGGAUAACUCCGGGAAACCGGAGCUAAUACCGGAUAGUUCCUUGAACCGCAUGGUUCAAGGAUGAAAGACGGUUUCGGCUGUCACUUACAGAUGGACCCGCGGCGCAUUAGCUAGUUGGUGAGGUAACGGCUCACCAAGGCGACGAUGCGUAGCCGACCUGAGAGGGUGAUCGGCCACACUGGGACUGAGACACGGCACAGACUCCUACGGGAGGCAGCAAUAGGGAAUCUUCCGAAAUGGACAAAAGUCUGACGAAAAACGCCGCGCGAGUGAGGAAGGCUCCGAAUCGCAAAAGCUCUGUUCAAAUGCAUAACUUGUCCUCAUUG
rnacentral:rRNA from 1 species